rnacentral:rRNA from 1 species
AUUGAACGCUGGCGGCAGGCCUAACACAUGCAAGUCGAACGAGUGGCGGACGGGUGAGUAAUGUCUGGGAAACUGCCCGAUGGAGGGGGAUAACUACUGGAAACGGUAGCUAAUACCGCAUACCAUCGGAUGUGCCCAUAUGGGAUGAGCUAGUUGGUGGGGUAACGGCUAACCUAGGCGACGAUCCCUAGCUGGUCUGAGAGGAUGACCAGCCACACUGGGACUGAGACACGGUCCAGACUCCUACGGGAGACAGCAGUGGGGAAUAUUGCACAAUGGGCGCAAGCCUGAUGCAGCCAUGCCGCGUGUAUGAAGAAGGCCGUCGGGUUGUAAAGUACUGUCAGCGAGGAGGCGUUACUCGCAGAGGAAGCAACGGCGAACUCCGUGCCAGCAGCCGCGGUAAUAC